rnacentral:rRNA from 1 species
UACGUAGGGGGCAAGCGUUGUCCGGAUUUAUUGGGCGUAAAGCGCGUGUAGGCGGCCAGGUAGGUCCGCUGUGAAAACUCGAGGCUCAACCUCGAGACGUCGGCGGAAACCCUCUGGCUAGAGUCCGGAAGAGGAGAGUGGAAUUCCUGGUGUAGCGGUGAAAUGCGCAGAUAUCAGGAAGAACACCCGUGGCGAAGGCGGCUCUCUGGGACGGUACUGACGCUGAGACGCGAAAGCGUGGGGAGCGAACAGG